GACGAACGCUGGCGGCGCGCUUAACACAUGCAAGUCGAGCGAGAACCAGGGCUUCGGCCCUGGGGACAGCGGCGAACGGGUGAGUAACACGUGGAUAACCUGCCCUCGGCACCGGGAUAGCCCGGGGAAACCCGGAUUAAUACCGGAUGGCCCUUCCGGCUUUCGAGCUGGUCGGAAAAGGUAGCUUCGGCCUCCGGCCGAGGAUGGGUCCGCGGCGGAUUAGCUAGUUGGUGGGGUAACGGCCUACCAAGGCGACGAUCCGUAGCUGGUCUGCGAGGACGAUCAGCCACACUGGGACUGAGACACGGCCCAGACUCCUACGGGAGGCAGCAGUGGGGAAUCUUGCGCAAUGGGCGAAAGCCUGACGCAGCGACGCCGCGUGAGGGAGGAAGGCCUUCGGGUUGUAAACCUCUUUCAGGAGGGACGAAGCUACUCGGGUUAAUAGCCCAGAGGGUGACGGUACCUCCAGAAGAAGCCCCGGCUAACUACGUGCCAGCCGCCGCGGUAAAAC
rnacentral:rRNA from 1 species